CCUAGGGUGGCAGCAGUGAGGAAUAUUGGUCAAUGGGCGCGAGCCUGAACCAGCCAAGUAGCGUGAAGGAUGACUGCCCUACGGGUUGUAAACUUCUUUUAUAAAGGAAUAAAGUGAGGCACGUGUGCCUUUUUGUAUGUACUUUAUGAAUAAGGAUCGGCUAACUCCGUGCCAGCAGCCGCGGUAAUACGGAGGAUCCGAGCGUUAUCCGGAUUUAUUGGGUUUAAAGGGAGCGUAGAUGGGUUGUUAAGUUAGUUGUGAAAGUUUGCGGCUCAACCGUAAAAUUGCAAUUGAUACUGGCAGCCUUGAGUACAGUUGAGGUAGGCGGAAUUCGUGGUGUAGCGGUGAAAUGCAUAGAUAUCGCGCAGAACUCCGAUUGCGAAGGCAGCGUACCGGCGCCGAACUGACGCUGAGGCACGAAAGCGUGGGUAUCGAACAGGAUUAGAUACCCCUGUAGUC
rnacentral:rRNA from 1 species